rnacentral:rRNA from 2 species
AGCGAACAGCAUGAGAAGCUUGCUUCUCUGAUGUUAGCGGCGGACGGGUGAGUAACACGUGGGUAACCUACCUAUAAGACUGGGAUAACUCCGGGAAACCGGGGCUAAUACCGGAUAAUAUUUUGAACCGCAUGGUUCAAUAGUGAAAGACGGUUUCGGCUGUCACUUAUAGAUGGACCCGCGCCGUAUUAGCUAGUUGGUAAGGUAACGGCUUACCAAGGCGACGAUACGUAGCCGACCUGAGAGGGUGAUCGGCCACACUGGAACUGAGACACGGUCCAGACUCCUACGGGAGGCAGCAGUAGGGAAUCUUCCGCAAUGGGCGAAAGCCUGACGGAGCAACGCCGCGUGAGUGAUGAAGGUCUUCGGAUCGUAAAACUCUGUUGUUAGGGAAGAACAAAUUUGUUAGUAACUGAACAAGUCUUGACGGUACCUAACCAGAAAGCCACGGCUAACUACGUGCCAGCAGCCGCGGUAAUACGUAGGUGGCAAGCGUUAUCCGGAAUUAUUGGGCGUAAAGCGCGCGUAGGCGGUUUCUUAAGUCUGAUGUGAAAGCCCACGGCUCAACCGUGGAGGGUCAUUGGAAACUGGGAAACUUGAGUGCAGAAGAGGAGAGUGGAAUUCCAUGUGUAGCGGUGAAAUGCGCAGAGAUAUGGAGGAACACCAGUGGCGAAGGCGGCUCUCUGGUCUGUAACUGACGCUGAUGUGCGAAAGCGUGGGGAUCACACAGGAUUAGAUACCCUGGUAGUCCACGCCGUAAACGAUGAGUGCUAAGUGUUAGGGGGUGUCCGCACUUACUGAUGCAGCGAGCGACAUUAAGUACUCCGCCGGCGGGGGGCGACCGCAU